rnacentral:rRNA from 1 species
UACGUAGGGGGCUAGCGUUGUCCGGAAUCAUUGGGCGUAAAGAGCGUGUAGGCGGCCCGGUAAGUCCGCUGUGAAAGUCGGGGGCUCAACCCUCGAAUGCCGGUGGAUACUGUCGGGCUAGAGUGCGGAAGAGGCGAGUGGAAUUCCUGGUGUAGCGGUGAAAUGCGCAGAUAUCAGGAGGAACACCAAUUGCGAAGGCAGCUCUCUGGACCACAACUGACGCUGAGGCGCGAAAGCUAGGGGAGCAAACAGG